UGAUGACGAGACGCUAAGGCGUUGAAGCAGUGUAUGUCAUACUUCCAAGAAAAGCUCGCAAUGUCAUAGAUAAAAAAUGCCUGUACCAUAACCGACACAGGUGGGUAGGUAGAGUAUACUAAGGGGCGCGAGAUAACUCUCUCUAAGGAACUCGGCAAAAUGACUCCGUAACUUCGGGAGAAGGAGUGCCUUAUUUAUAAGGUUGCAAUAACAAGAUCCAAGCAACUGUUUAUCAAAAACACAGGUCUCCGCUAAGUCGUAAGACGAUGUAUGGGGGCUGACGCCUGCCCAGUGCCAGAAGGUUAAAGAAGUUGGUUAGUGUAUGCGAAGCUGAUGACUGAAGCCCUGGUGAACGGCGGCCGUAACUAUAACGGUCCUAAGGUAGCGAAAUUCCUUGUCGGGUAAGUUCCGACCCGCACGAAAGGCGUAAUGAUUUGGAUACUGUCUCGGAGAGAGGCUCGGUGAAAUAGACUUGUCUGUGAAGAUGCGGACUACCUGCACCAGGACAGAAAGACCCUAUGAAGCUUUACUGUAACUUGAAAUUGGAAUUGGACUUUGCUUGCGCAGUAUAGGUGGGAAGCGUUGAAGAUAUUCUUGCGGGAGUAUUGGAGCUAUCAGUGAGAUACCACUCAUGUAAUGUUAGAUUUCUAACUUUGAACCAUAAUCUGGUCAAAGAACAGUUUCAGGUGGGCAGUUUGACUGGGGCGGUCGCCUCCCAAAUGGUAACGGAGGCGUACAAAGGUUUCCUCUGAACGGAUAGAAAUCGUAUCUAGAGUGUAAAGGCAUAAGGAAGCUUGACUGUGAGACCUACAAGUCGAGCAGGGACGAAAGUCGGUCUUAGUGAUCUGACGGUACUGAGUGGAAAGGCCGUCACUCAACGGAUAAAAGUUACUCUAGGAUAACAGGCUGAUCUCCCCCAAGAGUUCACAUCGACGGGGAGGUUUGGCACCUCGAUGUCGGCUCAUCGCAUCCUGGGGCGGUAGUACGUCCCAAGGGUUGGGCUGUUCGCCCAUGAAAGCGGUACGCGAGCUGGGUUCAGAACGUCGUGAGACAGUUCGGUCCAUAUCCGGUGUAGGCGCUAGAAUAUUGAGAGGAGCCUUCUUUAGUACGAGAGGACCGAGAAGGACACACCGCUGGUGUACCAGUUAUCGUGCCAACGGUAAACGCUGGGUAGCUAUGUGUGGAGUGGAUAACCGCUGAAAGCAUCUAAGUGGGAAGCCCACCUCAAGAUGAGUAUUC
rnacentral:rRNA from 1 species